GCCGUGGUAGCUCAGUGGUAGAGCACGUCAUUGGUAAUGACGGGGUCGGUAGUUCAAUUCUACCUCACGGCACCA
rnacentral:tRNA from 1 species